AGAUUGAUUUCAAAUUGGUUUCUCAAAUACGAGCAGACGAUUUAGAAAGAAGAAUCUCAAGUGUUUUAAUAAAUUUGAUUUUCAUUCAAAGUCAAUCUCAUAAUCAAAUGGAGAAUAAGAUAAUCAAAAUGCCAAGAUAAAAGAUUAAUGCUGUUAUAUA